UGACAAGAUUUGCAAGGAAAGGACUCAUCC
rnacentral:piRNA from 1 species